CACUCCUACGGGAGGCAGCAGUGGGGGAAUAUUGCACAAUGGGCGCAAGCCUGAUGCAGCCAUGCCGCGUGUGUGAAGAAGGCCUUCGGGUUGUAAAGCACUUUCAGUCGUGAGGAAGGUGGUGUAGUUAAUAGCUGCAUUACUUGACGUUAGCGACAGAAGAAGCACCGGCUAACUCCGUGCCAGCAGCCGCGGUAAUACGGAGGGUGCGAGCGUUAAUCGGAAUUACUGGGCGUAAAGCGCAUGCAGGUGGUUUGUUAAGUCAGAUGUGAAAGCCCGGGGCUCAACCUCGGAAUUGCAUUUGAAACUGGCAGACUAGAGUACUGUAGAGGGGGUAGAAUUUCAGGUGUAGCGGUGAAAAUGCGUAGAGAUCUGAAGGAAUACCGGUGGCGAAGGCGGCCCCCUGGACAGAUACUGACACUCAGAUGCGAAAGCGUGGGGAGCAAACAGGAUUAGAUACCCUGGUAG
rnacentral:rRNA from 1 species